GAUGAGGGCGAACCGGGGGAACUGAAACAUACUAAGUACCCCGAGGAAAGAAACUCAACCGAGAUUCCCCAGUAGCGGCGAGCGAACGGGAGGAGCCCAGAACCUGAAUCGGCUUGUGUGUUAGUGGAAGCGUCUGGAAGUCGCGCAGCAAAGGGUGAUAGCCCCGUACACUAAAAUGCACAGGUCGUGAGUUCGAUGAGUAGGGCGGGACACGUGACAUCCUGUCUGAAUAUGGGGGGACCAUCCUCCAAGGCUAAAUACUCCUGACUGACCGAUAGUGAACCAGUACCGUGAGGGAAAGGCGAAAAAGAACCCCGGCGAGGGGAGUGAAAUAGAACCUGAAACCGUGUACGUACAAGCAGUGGGAGCACCUUCGUGGUGUGACUGCGUACCUUUUGUAUAAUGGGUCAGCGACUUAUAUUUUGUAGCAAGGUUAACCGUAUAGGGGAGCCGUAGGGAAACCGAGUCUUAACUGGGCGACUAGUUGCAAGGUAUAGACCCGAAACCGGUGAUCUAGCCAUGGGCAGGUUGAAGGUUGGGUAACACUAACUGGAGGACCGAACCGACUAAUGUUGAAAAUUAGCGGAUGACUUGUGGCUGGGGUGAA
rnacentral:rRNA from 1 species